GGGCCCUUAGCUCAGUUGGUUAGAGCUUCUGCCUUUUAAGCAGAGAGUCGUGGGUUCGAGUCCCACAGGGCCCACCA
rnacentral:tRNA from 1 species